AGCUUUAAGAAAAAUUUAAAGUGUGACCUGCCCAGUGCGUAUGUUAACGGCCGCAGUACCCUGACUGUGCUAAGGUAGCAUAAUCAGUUGGCUUUUAAUUGGAGUCGGGAAUGAAUGGAUUAAUGGGGUUGAACUGUCUCUACUAUAAUUUAUUGAAUUUACUUAAUAGGUGAAAAUACCUAUUUUUAGAAAAAAGACGAGAAGACCCUAGGAGUUUUUACUAAAACCUUUUUUGGUUCCGUUUUUGUUGGGGCGACAGGAGAAGAUAUAUUAAACUUCUUUUUUUUAUAAGCCGACUAAGUAUGAAAAGAUAAACUACCCUAGGGAUAACAGCGUAAUUCUUUUUGAGUUUGCGACCUCGAUGUUGGACUAGGAAUUUGAUGGGCUAGCCGCCCCUUAUA
rnacentral:rRNA from 1 species